AAACCAACAGGGAUUGCCUUAGUAGCGGCGAGUGAAGCGGCAAAAGCUCAAAUUUGAAAUCUGGCGCCUUCGGUGUCCGAGUUGUAAUUUGAAGAUUGUAACCUUGGGGUUGGCUCUUGUCUAUGUUUCUUGGAACAGGACGUCACAGAGGGUGAGAAUCCCGUGCGAUGAGAUGCCCAAUUCUAUGUAAGGUGCUUUCGAAGAGUCGAGUUGUUUGGGAAUGCAGCUCUAAGUGGGUGGUAAAUUCCAUCUAAAGCUAAAUAUUGGCGAGAGACCGAUAGCGAACAAGUACAGUGAUGGAAAGAUGAAAAGAACUUUGAAAAGAGAGUGAAAAAGUACGUGAAAUUGUUGAAAGGGAAGGGUUUGAGAUCAGACUCGAUAUUUUGUGAGCCUUGCCUUCGUGGCGGGGUGACCCGCAGCUUAUCGGGCCAGCAUCGGUUUGGGCGGUAGGAUAAAUGGCGUAGGAAAUGUGACUUUACUUCGGUGAAAGUGUUAUAGCCUGCGUUGAUGCUGCCUGCCU
rnacentral:rRNA from 1 species